rnacentral:rRNA from 1 species
AACGAACGUUGGCGGCGUGCUUAACACAUGCAGGUCGAGGGCGAACGGUCUCUUCGGAGACUUAUUAGACCGGCGCACGGGUGAGUAACACGUGGGUACGUACCCCAGGGACUGGGACAACCCUCCGAAAGGAGGGCUAAUACCGGAUACGCUUCUUCGGAAGGAAAUGCUCCGGCGCCCUGGGAUCGGCCCGCGCCCCAUUAGAUAGUUGGUGAGGUAACGGCUCACCAAGUCGAAGAUGGGUAGCUGGUCUGAGAGGAUGAUCAGCCACACUGGGACUGAGACACGGCCCAG